rnacentral:rRNA from 1 species
UACAGAGGGGGCAAGCGUUGUUCGGAAUUACUGGGCGUAAAGGGCGCGUAGGCGGCCUUCUAAGUCGAACGUGAAAUCCCUGGCUCAACCCAGGAACUGCGUCCGAUACUGGAAGGCUUGAAUCCGGGAGAGGGAUGCGGAAUUCCAGGUGUAGCGGUGAAAUGCGUAGAUAUCUGGAGGAAUACCGGUGGCGAAGGCGGCAUCCUGGACCGGCAUUGACGCUGAACAGCGAAAGCUAGGGAGCAAACGGG